rnacentral:lncRNA from 1 species
UAUAAUAGACUCAAGCUUUACAUUAACUUCAACAAGUAAAGAGUUGGCGAGACAGUUUCACAGAACGCUUUUCAGCGGACAGCCUACAUCCUUUCUGAUUCGCUUCUAGAAGUUGGUCGCAAGCUGUUGUAAAUGUUAUGCCUAUAUGAUUAUCGUGCACUCUUGUUCCUAGCAAUAACACUACAACUCCUUUUAAGCCUAUAGCUAAUAUCAUUACCAACUGAUUCAUCUUCCUUGCAACAUCUUCCCUGCCAAGACUCCGCAACCACCUCUUUGUCCAACUCUCUGGCAAC